AUACGGAAGGUCCGGGCGUUAUCCGGAUUUAUUGGGUUUAAAGGGAGCGCAGGCGGAGAUGCAAGCGUGACGUCAAAUUUCGGGGCUCAACCCCGUCUCGCGUCGCGAACUGCGUCCCUUGGUUGCGGGAAGGGGAGGCGGAACUCGUGGUGGAGCGGGGGAAUGCAUAGAUAUCACGAAGAACUCCGAUCGCGAAGGCAGCCUUCCGGCCCGUCAACGACGCUCAUGCUCGAAGGUGCGGGUAUCAAACAGGAUUAGAUACCCUGGUAGUCCGCACAGUAAACGAUGGACACCCGCGGUUUGGCCUGUAUGGCUGAGCCGCCAAGCGAAAGCGUUAAGUGUCCCACCUGGGGAGUACGCCGGCAACGGUGAAACUCAAAUGAAUUGGCGGGG
rnacentral:rRNA from 1 species